CGACGUCCGCUGGCCGCCGCGCACCGGAGGCGAGAGAAGCAGCGCAGCUCCCGGGAAGAUGUCGCGGAGGAGGCGGCGACGUGGUGUGAAAUAAGCAGCACAGAACAUGUUUUUGUUUUCCUACCGCGAAGCACGACAAUAUCAUGGGCUUUGAGGUUCUAGUUCUAUUCGUCUUCAUGUUAAAGAUUUGACUGAAGCCAAAAGCCCGACCAAGGAUCCUUGUGCUUUGAUGAAUCCAGGAACGGACCCGCUGUCUGCUUAGGCAUCGCUGAGACCUUGCCCACGGGGAGGAGCGCGUGCCCGGCUGGCUCUGGCAGCUUUCAAACAAUGACACUGAGUUAUGACACCAGUGAACGGCGCCAGGCAUCGUCAGCGAAUGAGAGAGAGAGGAGAACCGGACCUCUCUAUCAACACUUUAAUUGGGGGGAAUUAAGGAUCAUUCUCACUUUUGACUAAUCCAACAGCUGCUUGUCAUUGUCUGUCUGUGCUGUGGUGUGUACGUGCCCUUCAGUCGCUCCCCCUCCUCCAACUCACUGUUUUUUUUCCCUGUUCCGCACAGCAGCUCACGGGCUUUGAUGAGAGGCCUGAGCUAAAAUGUCACAGGGAUUAAGAGGUUUUGCCUCCUGCAUCCCACCGGAUCAGUUCUAGCUGCCUUGUGUGCCUGAGCUUCCUCCUACCCAGACAGGUGCACAGUGGCAUUUCUUUCCACUCUGCUGUGCCCUAUUGAAUUUCCUUCUGGGAGAAAUAACAUUGCUCCAUGUUUACUGAUGAGUAAGAGGCAAAAUAUGGUGAAGGGAGAAAGGGAGGGUUGAGAAAAUUAAUGAGAGAAGAGUGGACAGGGAAACACAAAUAAUGUGACGACCAUAUUCUUCACCUACAACAUGCAUAUAGACGUAGAUUUAUUCUAUAAAUUCAAAGUCAACAUGUUGUUAAAACCUGUGGUUUCAAGCAUUCCAAGUUUGAAAAGUUAACUUUUAUCAUUUCUCCUUUCAGCUCCCACCCAGACCCACACACACACACACACACACACACACACACACACACACACACUCAUCUGUGGCUGCUUCCUCCAAACACCGUUAGACAGAUUUGAAAAUGAAAUGUCUCCAGAGAGACAUCUGAGAGAGACAUCUGCAGUUCAGAUGGAGCCUUUAACAUCACAUAGCCAGAGCUGCCAUCAUAUUAAAUAGCUUUCGGAAAUUAUUUUUAGUUCCUGCUGCAUUAAAACGACCCCACAGUCACUCGUGAAUUCACUUUAACCUUUAAAGUUAAUGGAGUUGUUCCUUCCACAAGUGAUGAUUACUCGUUAUUGUAGCUGGAACUGAAAUUGUGUUUAUUGUAUUUAUAAGGUAUGUGUUGCCAGAAUGCCGUUGCGACGUGAAGUGCACAACAGCAGGGCAGAUCGCACGUUACUGUAUGAUUUGUGUCCAGGUCGCAGAUUGGAUUUGUCACAAAGAAGCCGGAAAAAGUGAGACCAAAAUGGCUCCAGUAGCGUUUGGAGUCCGCCUUUCAUCCACGAUGAACAGCCGGGCUUGGCCUCCUUCUUAGAUUCAUUGCUGACAGAAAAAGAAAGAAAAAAAAAACAGCAGCAGACGCACAAAAUAAAAACGCAGCCAGCUUAUUCAUUACGGUUUUGUGCUGAGAGUCUAAAUGUGCAGAGGAAAAAUCUAGGUCAUUUCUCCAUCAUUAGUAUGCCAGCCAGGUGUAGAGCAAAGAGGAUUAGAGGCAAGUAAUGCCAAUGGGGCCCUCCACGUGUGCCUCUCCUUCAUUCUCUCGCUCUCUGAAAUUUGACAAUCACACCGAAGUGCCCCCGUUAUCGCCUCGUCAUAUCCAUGACUUGUAAUUAAGCAUUUAGGAGUUACACAGCUAGGAAACUGAUCGUGUUUUGAGAGACAAAAGGGGAGGGACAGCAUGUCCAAUCAUAGUCAGCAGUGCUGUUCAUGGGGUUUAUAUCUGUCGUGUACUGGCUCCCGCUGCUCUUCUAUAGAAUACAACACUGGUAUCGACAUCCAGUUCUGAAUGAGUCUGCUUCACAAAUAAAGGCGGAACAACCUCUUAGAGACAAGAGAAGCUCAGUAAAGAUCCUCAUGUGUUCAGCGUGUGAUACGUUACAUGAACUAGUUUAGUCAGGUGACUUCCAUGUAUCUCGUCCUUCACAUCGUUUAUGUUUUUGUUCAGGUGUCGUCUUUUGUUAGUUCUUGUUCUCAUCAUGUGACAUCACUUCCUGUUUGGUGCUUGUGUAAUUAGUUUGAUCAGUCCCACCUUGUUUGUGUUAUGUUACCUGUAGUUCAGUUAUUCUUGCUUUAUUCACCUCCAGUAGUAUAUGAAGUAUACACAGUAGUAGUACAUGUUACCACUAGCUUUCAGUGUUUUCUAGUUUUCAGCCUGUUGUGCUCUUAAAGCUCCUCUCCACUGUAAUAACUACCAUGAUUAGGAUCCGGACGAGCUCCCAGGAGAGUGAACGUCCCACAGCAUCAUGGACGGCACUGGAAAGGCAGGAAUAACUCACAACGAGGCCCGAGGCCAGCAGAGAGCCCUCAGGUGCUAUUUAAUGACCGACGAAUGCAAAAAGACAGACGUCUGCUAGAAGCUCUGCAUCACCGCAUGCUCCUGAGGGGACGGCUGACGGUUAAAAAUGCUAUCAUGAGACAGCCCACAUGGGAUUUUCAAACUAACUGACCUUCUGGGAAAUACUGGGGUGAUUCAUCCAGCCUGAUGAAGGCCCAGCAAACCCAGACCAGUUCAGAACUGGGCUCAUCAGCGGUGGUAAAAGCGUUGGUUUAACAAGUUGGAAUGAAUGAGCGUCUUGGUGUUCCUGGAAAAAUAGAUUCGAGGGCAGGGAGGUAAAAAUCCUGUUGAAAUUUGCCCUGUUGGAUGUAGAGCGAGAGGGCGAUCAAGGAUGCUGAAGUCCCUGUGAGACGGCAACCUGCUCAGCACUUAGCAGCUUUGAGUCACGCCGCUCCUUCAGACUGGAUAGUUAAACCAUCAAAGAGUUCACCGCAGCUGCUUAAAACGCAGCUUCCUUUGGUAGCGAUCAAGGCUCGCGGCGCUAAUUAGCUCAGCGGCGCCCAAGUGGAGGCUGUUUGC